UUCGCGUGUAGCAGUGAAAUGCGUAGAGAUCGGGAGGAAUACCAGUGGCGAAGGCGGCCUUCUGGACUGACACUGACGUUGAGGUGCGAAAGCGUGGGUAGCAAACAGGAUUAGAUACCCUGGUAGUCCACGCUGUAAACGAUGUCGACUAGCCGUUGGGUCCCUCGAGGACUUUGUGGCGCAGUUAACGCGAUAAGUCGACCGCCUGGGGAGUACGGCCGCAAGGUUAAAACUCAAAAGAAUUGACGGGGGCCCGCACAAGCGGUGGAGCAUGUGGUUUAAUUCGAUGCAACGCGAAGAACCUUACCUACCCUUGACAUCCUCGGAAGCCUGCAGAGAUGCGGGCGUGCCUUCGGGAACCGAGAGACAGGUGCUGCAUGGCUGUCGUCAGCU
rnacentral:rRNA from 1 species